rnacentral:rRNA from 1 species
UACGGGGGGAGCAAACGUUGUUCGGAAUUACUGGGCGUAAAGGGCUCGUAGGCGGCCAACUAAGUCGGACGUGAAAUCCCCAGGCUCAACCUGGGAACUGCGUCCGAUACUGGAUGGCUUGAAUCCGGGAGAGGGAUGCAGAAUUCCAGGUGUAGCGGUGAAAUGCGUAGAUAUCUGGAGGAAUACCGGUGGCGAAGGCGGCAUCCUGGACCGGCAUUGACGCUGAGGAGCGAAAGCCAGGGGAGCAAACGGG